rnacentral:misc_RNA from 1 species
AAAACUUCCACUAGAAAGAGGGACUGUUUAUUUCUCUUACACAUGUACUCUUUCUCAGGCAAAAACAGAGACAGUUGCAGGUUUGAUUUCCUUUUUGUUUUUCCUAGUACCAAAGUGAUGAAAUUUCAUUGACAAUAAUUGCUUAAAAUACAGAUUAGGGAAAAUAUCUUACUCUAAUUGACCAUAUCUAUGACUAAAUAUAGUU